CUCCUGCAUUUUUGAGAAACAAACCCUAACCAAACAACCUCCCAGCCGACAUCUGCUUCCUCUCUCUCUCUUGACAUUAUAUCCGGUGACCGGAAUCAUGCUCCAGCGAGCUCCCACCACUCCACCUGCACCAUGUCAACCCCCAACACCCCCUGUUCCUCUCGACUUCGCCGGCGACUAAACCGGAAGCGGCGGCCGCCGCUGCUGACGUUGAUGAUGAUGAUGUUCUGCUGAUGAUGAUGAUGAAGAUUGAUGGUGGUUACGGGAGUUUCUGUCGACGGUGAGGAUAUUGGUUAAUGGCAGCCGUGUUUCUCGAGUAUGAAGCAGGUGAUGCGGGGAGGCUGUUAUGACAGCGGCAAAGGUGUCGUGGGGUUCGGGGAGUCGGUCAGAAAGAAAGAGGUGCCGAUCGCCACUCGCGGCGGCCGGCGGUGGUGGAGACGGCAGCACUACGGCUGAAGUGGUAAUCGAGUUUAGUCUCGGGUUCGCACGAGUUCGGUUCAGCAGGGUGUUUGGUUCAGUCACGGUUCAGAUUCAGGCUAUGUUGUGGGUUCGGGUGUAGUUCGGGUCAGCUCAUUUUUCGGGUUCUACUCGGGUCAACAACGGGUCAACGGUUCAAGUUCGGGAUACGGUUCAGGGUUGAAGAUCGGUUUGAUGUUCGAGUUAACUCGGUCCGGGUCAACUCAGCUAAGUUGGGUUAACUCAGUCCAACCUAGUCGACUCAGUCAAACCCGAGUCGACUCGGUCAACAGGUCAAAGUGGUCAACAUAAUGGUUCAAGUUCGCGACUCAGUUCGGUGUUCGGGUCAAGGUUUGGUUCAACUCGGUUUGACUCGGUCAAACCGAGUCAACUCAGUCAACGAAGUCAGUCGGUCAACAGCAGUCAACACGCAAGACCCGGUAAAGUUUAGGCGUAGCGAGUCGUUGUUACGCCACUUUUCAUUAGAUUUUAGACUUAUACGCGACCCGAGCUCGACCCGAAUUGAUUAAAUACUAGUUUAUGUUUUGAUAUUUUAACGAGAAUUUUAUGCAUAUUUUGGUUCCGUUGAA